rnacentral:snRNA from 1 species
UUAACAUUCCCCUAAUGAAGUUAAUCUGUUCUUAUCAGUUUAAUAUCUGAUAUGUCCUCUAUAUAAGGACUACAUAUUCAAUGGAUUUUUUGGAACAGGGAGAUGGAAUAGACGCUUGCUCCAUCCACUCCGUGCAUCGACCUGCUAUUGUAAUAUCUCCAGGAAUGGUGCAUCUCCC